rnacentral:rRNA from 1 species
GACAGAGGGUGCAAACGUUGUUCGGAAUUACUGGGCGUAAAGCGUGUGUAGGCGGCCAUAUAAGUCGGAUGUGAAAGCCCUGGGCUCAACCCAGGAAGUGCACUCGAUACUGUGUGGCUUGAGUAUCGGAGAGGUUGGUGGAAUUCUCGGUGUAGAGGUGAAAUUCGUAGAUAUCGAGAGGAACACCGGUGGCGAAGGCGGCCAACUGGACGAAUACUGACGCUGAGACACGAAAGCGUGGGGAGCAAACAGG